CAGAAUAGUGGGCCUUUUUUUACAGUUACAGAAUGGCCCUUUCUUUAUGGGUUACAUGAUUGCUCCUGGAAAAAGGAUGUUAUGCAUGCAAGUCGCCCAGCUCUGCUGGGAGAGAUGUCCCUUCUUCAGAAGUCUGCUGCUGUAUAGAACUGUCCACAAAGUGUAACUCAACUUUUGAAGAGGCUGGUCUUCGAGAUCUAGAGCCUGUAGCCUUUUUGAAAUUUGGAGAACUUUGAACAGCAGAUCAUGGAACCACUGCAAGUAGAUCUGGCAGAAGUCCCUCAUCUGCUGAAGCCACAGGAGUUCCACACUGAUGCAAGAGGAGCAUCUUUGCCGUUGGAGUGGGAGCUCUGCUCGCUGUGCAUCCAAUGAAAAUUUUUAUUUUGUUGAGUCAGCUCAAAGCACAAAGUGCUUGUUAGUUUUCCCAUCCAGUGUUGGACCUCACUCAACAAAUAAUGAAUCAUGGGUGUGUUGUGCUUCCAUCCUUUUUCACCUUUACCACUUGCUAAUUUUGGAACUUGCAGUUUAUAAUUACAAUGCUGAGCCAGGGCUCUUGGCUUGGGAAAUGAGAAUGUUUUAAAGGGAAGCCUAAUAGCUGCAUCUUGGUUGAAUACACCGUGAAGAGCUGAGUCUGACCUACAUUAAAAGCUUAGAGAGCUUUUCAUUUUGCAAAUGAAUAGAGGGCCCUAACACUGAGGGGAAAGCACAUAUUAAUUUCUCUCUAAACCAUUGGGAUGCACAGAAAUAGAAAUGGAAGGGGUUUUGUGGGACCUCUCAGUGCUUGUUUUGGGAUGUUAUGGGGCAGUGCACUUUGUAAGGGUUUGAGUCAGUGCCUGCUGCAGUAACCUGCUGUAAACUGGACUAAGCAGACAAUUUGCUUUGCCCUAAAACAUCUCCUGAAUGCCAGCAAAUUAAAGGCCACUUUUAUGUUACAUGUUUAAUUAGUUUUAAGUAAUGCAGGUAAAAGAACAGCUGAUUAAGUUAUUUGCAAGACUUUUCUGAUGCUGCAUCAGAGAGUUCUGCCUUUUACGCAGAAGACAUCCUUGACACCUCGGUUUGGAGUCUGCAUCUCAUCAUGAAGAAGGGAAGCUUUUCAUAAGGAGGAAGACAAUUUGAGAAUAAUUUCCUUCCCUGAGGCUGCACCUACAAUCAAAGGAGGAUAUCAGCUAUUGCAAAACCCCGAGCAUGGGGAAUUUUACUCCAGAGGAAGUCCGUGAUCAGGGUUCUUCUCUCUUGGGUUAUUAAAUAUUCUCUCAAAAUAAAUCAUCUGAUGAUUUUCCACUGACUGAUACUUAGCUCUGGGAAAGGACAAAUUCAUUUUGCCAAAAUUGCCUCUGAAUUAGGAUGUUGCAUACCCCAUUGCUGGGGACAUGGACUACUGCAGAAAACACUACAAUUCAAUUACACUAGUGAAUGCAAUAUUAUUUGUGAAAUAAAAUUGCCUUAUUGGAUAUUUAGCCUUCUUGGAUCUUUAAAAAAUCAUCAAACAAAGUGAUUCCCUAUUACCUGAGUAAAAAGGAAUUAAUGAAAGAGCAAAAUUAUCAGAAAGGUCUGAAAGGAAAUGAUUAUGAGUUAUCCUGAUGUUAGCAGAGAGUUCAAAAAUAUUCACAUUUGUCAUCUGGUUUGUCACCUUUGAUAAGCCUCUUUGUCUCCC